UUCAUCAUCUUUUCAGCAUCAUUCACUUGUUGAUUCGCAUCAUAUUGAUCCCUUUCUGCAUGUUUUACAUACUUAGGUAGAUUUUAUGCAUAUCAUGCAUAUCUUGCAUACAUUGUGCAUAUUUGGAGUGUUUCAGGUACUUAGGAGACAUGUAGAGUGAAGUAGAGAAACAAGCGUUACUCGACAUGCAUACGAUCGAGUGGGACGAUCGAGUGAGAAGCAAGGAUGCGUUGCAGGAACAUACUUCACUCGAUGGACACGAUCGAGUAGGAUGAUCGAGUAGGCAGCAGAGAUACAUUGCAAAUACAUCGACGAUCGAGUGAGCAGCAGACGCAUACGAUCAAGUGAGCAGCAGAAGGGACGCGAAGCAGAACCACCUGUCACUCGAUGCACAGACUCGAGUGACAUGAUCGAGCAAAGCAAAGAAGUUGCUGAUGAUUUCACAGAU
rnacentral:lncRNA from 1 species